AAACCGGGAUUAAUACCGCAUAAAAUCGUAGAAACACAUGUUUUAACGGCCAAAGAUUUAUCGGUCAUAGAUGGGCUCGCGUCUGAUUAGCUAGUUGGUGAGAUAACAGCCCACCAAGGCGACGAUCAGUAGCCGGUCUGAGAGGAUGAACGGCCACAUUGGAACUGAGACACGGUCCAA
rnacentral:rRNA from 1 species